GGGGGACGGAGAAGGCUAUGUUGGCCGGGCGACGGUUGUCCCGGUUUAAGCGUGUAGGUGUGUGUUCCAGGUAAAUCCGGUUCACUUUAACACUGAGGCGUGAUGACGAGGCACUACGGUGCUGAAGCAACAAAUGCCCUGCUUCCAGGAAAAGCCUCUAAGCAUCAGGUAACAUCAAAUCGUACCCCAAACCGACACAGGUGGUCAGGUAGAGAAUACCAAGGCGCUUGAGAGAACUCGGGUGAAGGAACUAGGCAAAAUGGUGCCGUAACUUCGGGAGAAGGCACGCUGACACGUAGGUGAAGUGAUUUACUCACGGAGCUGAAGUCAGUCGAAGAUACCAGCUGGCUGCAACUGUUUAUUAAAAACACAGCACUGUGCAAACACGAAAGUGGACGUAUACGGUGUGACGCCUGCCCGGUGCCGGAAGGUUAAUUGAUGGGGUCAGCGCAAGCGAAGCUCCUGAUCGAAGCCCCGGUAAACGGCGGCCGUAACUAUAACGGUCCUAAGGUAGCGAAAUUCCUUGUCGGGUAAGUUCCGACCUGCACGAAUGGCGUAAUGAUGGCCAGGCUGUCUCCACCCGAGACUCAGUGAAAUUGAACUCGCUGUGAAGAUGCAGUGUACCCGCGGCAAGACGGAAAGACCCCGUGAACCUUUACUAUAGCUUGACACUGAACAUUGAGCCUUGAUGUGUAGGAUAGGUGGGAGGCUUUGAAGUGUGGACGCCAGUCUGCAUGGAGCCGACCUUGAAAUACCACCCUUUAAUGUUUGAUGUUCUAACGUGGACCCGUAAUCCGGGUUGCGGACAGUGUCUGGUGGGUAGUUUGACUGGGGCGGUCUCCUCCUAAAGAGUAACGGAGGAGCACGAAGGUUGGCUAAUCCUGGUCGGACAUCAGGAGGUUAGUGCAAUGGCAUAAGCCAGCUUGACUGCGAGCGUGACGGCGCGAGCAGGUGCGAAAGCAGGUCAUAGUGAUCCGGUGGUUCUGAAUGGAAGGGCCAUCGCUCAACGGAUAAAAGGUACUCCGGGGAUAACAGGCUGAUACCGCCCAAGAGUUCAUAUCGACGGCGGUGUUUGGCACCUCGAUGUCGGCUCAUCACAUCCUGGGGCUGAAGUAGGUCCCAAGGGUAUGGCUGUUCGCCAUUUAAAGUGGUACGCGAGCUGGGUUUAGAACGUCGUGAGACAGUUCGGUCCCUAUCUGCCGUGGGCGCUGGAGAACUGAGGGGGGCUGCUCCUAGUACGAGAGGACCGGAGUGGACGCAUCACUGGUGUUCGGGUUGUCAUGCCAAUGGCACUGCCCGGUAGCUAAAUGCGGAAGAGAUAAGUGCUGAAAGCAUCUAAGCACGAAACUUGCCCCGAGAUGAGUUCUCCCUGAGACUUAGAGUCUC
rnacentral:rRNA from 1 species